AGGUACAAUUUUUUGUUUCUAUGUUUAAGGAAUUAUAUAAUGGAAACCACAAAAUAUAUCAUGUUCGAGGUAUUCACACUAUUACACCUGCUAGCAUAGCAAAGCUCCAAAAGGACACAAGGAGACUCAAUCAUAAUCAGAUACCUGUUUCUGACGCACCUCCUGGUUUAUCAGUACAUUUUGAAAAUGGAGAAUUCAGGGAACUUGAUAAGUUGCAUAUAUUCUCCUGCAAAAAAGUGACAUAUAUUUGGAAUAACGAAAAAAGGGAAUUUAUGAAAUUGGCAGGUUUGGAAGCAGGAGUUGCUUGUAAUGUUUUUCACAGGUACAGACCUUUAACCG